AUGGACUGCCGGCGACAAGGCCGGAGGAAGGUGGGGCGACGUCAAGUCAUCAUGGCCCUUAUGUCCAGGGCGACACACGUGCUACAAUGGCCGGCACAGCGGGAAGCAAGGGGCGACUCUGAGCGGAUCCCUUAAAGCCGGUCCCAGUUCGGAUUGCAGUCUGCAACUCGACUGCAUGAAGUUGGAAUCGCUAGUAAUCGUGGAUCAGCCAAGCCGCGGUGAAUACGUUCCCGGGCCUU
rnacentral:rRNA from 1 species